CCCUUAGAUGUUCUGGGCCGCACGCGUGCUACACUGAGUGGAUCAGCGGGCCAGGUUGCGCGAAAGUGUUUCCUAAUCUUUAAAUCCGCUCGUGAUGGGGAUUGACGGUUGCAAUUUUCCGUCAUGAACGAGGAAUACCUUGUAAGCGCGGGUCAUCAUCCCGCGCUGAAUACGUCCCUGCCCUUUGUACACACCGCCCGUCGCUCCUACCGAUUGAGUGGUCCGGUGAGGCUUUGGGAUCUGAGCGGAAAGAGCGUUUCGCUGUUUCUGCCCGGAAAACUCAGUCGAACCUUAUCAUUUAGAGGAAGGAGAAGGCGUAACA
rnacentral:rRNA from 1 species